rnacentral:lncRNA from 1 species
CCAUAACCACUUUUUGAAUAUCUUCAUUUCCUUGCUGAAUUUUUAUGCUUUAAAAAAAAUCAUAAAAUCUUAUAGUCAAUCAAUUUAGAGUAUUUUUCUUCACUUCCAAUGAUCUUUUUUCAAGUUAAGUUGUCUUUGAUAUAUACGUGUGUGUGUGUGUGUGUUUGUGUAUUUCUGCUUUGAAUGGGAUUUCGUUAUGUUAUAUUCUGAACUCUUGGUAGAAGUAGGAAAUAUGUGGUUUUAGCAUAAUGGUUUUCUGUCUACCGACUCUCAUUGAUUCUUCAGUUUUUUGGGUCAAUUCUCAUAUUUUCACCUUAACUAACCAUUAUCUGCAUAUUAUAAAAGCCAAUUUCAUAUUAUUAGUUUAAUGUGAAACAUUAAAGCAUGGUUCAUACUUCCAGCAAAAUUAUAGUAGUGACCGAGGAAUUGUGUCUUAUGCGUAAUUUUAAUAGGGGUAAUUCUAGUUUUAGGAUUCCUUUGUUACAAGGAAAUAUCCUUGAUCUUGUUCACGAAGUUCCUCAUUAAUUAGGAGUCUUAAAAAAUUAGGGUUGUGUAUCUUCAUUACAAAUGAUUUCUGUACCAGCUGAUCCAAAUUUUUCUUAGUACCAUCCAUGGGCUGAAAGAAAGGCUAUUUCUUCGCUGUGUGAUCAGUGUGUCAUUAACUACCCAUUUCUUCAUUUAUUUAGUCAAAUUUAUUGAGAUGAUAAUUUAAUUUUUCUCAUGUCAAAUACUGAAAAAGAGUCUGUUUUUUAAUUGUUUUCAACUGUUGGGUUAGAAAGGACUCUUACAUAUUGCUGAGUGCAUUGUCAAUUGGUUUACAGUUUAGAAUGCAAUUUGGCAAAAGUAGUAAAAUGAUCUUUCAAGUUUCAUACCUUUUGGACAGUAAGUAUAUUUCUAGAAUUAAUAAGUGACAGAAAAUAGGCCAGAAAUAGUCAUCUCAGCAUGAUACUAUUAUUUGCUUCCUAAUAGGACCACAUUAGACCUUCCAUUAAAAUACUUUUAAAUGGAUUUUUAAAGAUUCUUCCCACCUUAAUUUUGAUACUUUAUCUGCAUCCUCUAGUAUUCAAUUGUUGAGCAUAUAUUUGAAUGGCUGGAUGAUGAUUAGAAUAAAAGACUUAGAUAUUCAUUAAGGAUGACUGAACACAUAACUGUUGAAUUGUGUACCUGAGCCAAAUGCACUAGUACACAGAAUAGGUCGUUCCUCUGUAACAGUCUCAGAGCAACUGCUUUCCAGGGGCUAAUGUUAUUCUGCCAUCUACUGGUUAAAAUUAAAAGUCUUUGUUUAGCUAGAUUACAGAAAAUAUAUCUCCUUUAUCAAAACAACAGUAAUAACAAAACCCAGAAAUUUUUAUAGCACAUGUGAAAGUUCAAAGUUGGCAGCUUAUAUAAAUUACAUAAGUGAAUAUUAAAAACUUUUGGUAAUUUUUGGGGUACGGUAGAUCAAAGAGAAGAAUUAUUUUUUAUAUUACUUAAAAAUACAGAUUUAAAUAGCUAUGACCUUUAUUUUAUUUAUAAAUUCAUAUACAUUUAAUUUUAAAAUCUGCAACAUUUCAUCUGGAUUCUAAGCAUUCAUACCCAAUACUUGCUUUUUCCUUUGAGUGGAUUCCCCAUACCAUUUUUAUUUUUAGUUUUUAGCAGACAGCCUCAUCACAAAGACAUGUAUAGAGUAAAUCUUUUCCACAGCAGAAAGGACGUAAUAUGCAUUAUAUCUGGUUAUAAGUAAAUAUGACAACCUCAUAAUAUUUAAGAAAUUUUUAUAUUGGUUUGCUCAUUUGGGUAUGAGGAUCAAAUCAUGACUGCUAUAGCCACAUAAUUUUCACCCGGCCAGCCAGACACACAUAUGCAUAAGCAUAUACAUGUGUUUGAUGUAAAACAGCUUUUGGACCAGCUGAUCCAGAUUUUUCUUAGUGCCACCCAUGGGCUCAAAGAAAGUCUAUUUCUUGACUAUGUGAACAGUAAGAAUGGCAUCAACUACCCAUUUCCUCAUUCUCCAUGUUAUUGUCUCAGAACAAAAUAUUCUCUUACACCAAGCAUUUUUUCCCUCAAGAUGGAUGUGUAUAACAACAAGUGAUCUCUUAAUAGUGCCUCCUGAAGGAUAUCAAGAGUGCACAUAUCUUUUCUACAUAGAACUGAAGGAGCAAGAUUAGAUUUCGUGCAAUCUUAGAACAAGAUGUGUAUAAAGCUGUUGACAGCAACUAAGUAACCCAAACUUCAGAAGUUUCGUUGUCUAGAGCCCCUUCUCCAAUUGUAAGUCCAAAGAGUAUGUCUAGCUCUUUACUGGUCCAUCUUCCAAAAGACUAUUACAAUACAGCCUUACAAUCUCUUAUAAUGGAAGUUUAUCAUUUUUUGCCUCAUUUCACCCAAGUGCCAGUCAACAGAGUACAUGUUUGUAUGUGGUGGGGAUGGGAGGCAGGUCUAACUUCUACUGAUUCAAACAGCUUUAUCUUACUUAGGGAGUAUACUUUAUCACUUAGAAGUCAAAACAUUCUUCCAGCCAGGAAUUAGUGAUCCAUUAAAACUUAUUUCUAAUUCAUGUCAAAUCAUGAACCAAAACAUACUCAGUAUAAAAACCUAAUGUGAGUCAGUGUAAUGUUUAUUUCUUCAUACUAAGCAGUGUUUACUUCAAUUUUUUAUUACUCUCUCCAUCUUUCUCCAGAUAAGAAAAUCACAGAUUUCACAAAACCUUUCAUAUAUGUAUAUACACAUACUUGAAGACAUCAAUUAACUCAAAGAUUAAGGAAAAAGAGUUUUUGUUUUGAUUUUGUUUUUUGUUGUUGUUGUUAUUGUUUGUUUUUUGAGAUAGAGUUUCACUCUUGUCACCCAGGCUGGAGUGUAGUGGUGUGAUCCUGGCUCACUGCAAUCUCCGCCUCCCCAGUUCAAGCGAUUCUCCUGCCUCAGCCUCCGGAGUAACUGGCAUUACAGGCGCCUGCCACCACCCCUGGCUAAUUUUUGUAUUUUUAGUAGAGACGGAGUUUCACCAUGUUAGCCAGGCUGGUCUCGAACUCCUGACCUCAGAUGAUCCGCCUGCCUGGGCCUCCCAAAAGUGCUGGGAUUACAGGCGUGAGCCACCGCCCCCAGCCAGAAAAACAAUUUUUAAUUUUCAAGGCUGGCUCUCCAUUAAUAAUCUCUCCCAUGCCCUGGACUAGCUAUACUUUAUCCUGCAAGGGGAAUAAGUUAUGGAUUCCAUUGGUAUGUCUACUUUGUUCACUUCUUGGGCUGCAAUAUCUACACUUCCCAUUCACCCUUACCACUUACUUAGUAGAUAGUCUAGCCACUUGCAAGAGGUUCAUGGCUACCAUUUGGGAAUGCCUAUAGGAGAUCAAGGAGAUCCAUUGAAACUCAGCCCCCAAAUCCAAAGUCACUUUCCUUUUGAUAUCUGUAGUUUCAUCAUCUGUCAUAACCAUGCCUACUUAUCAUCUGUAAAACACCCUUUCUACAUUAAGGGAUACUCACAUUAUGAAUUCUAGUUGUGGUUGUUUUAAAAUAUAUUCACAAAUUUUCUCAUGCUCGUUUCUUUCCUCCUUUUGACUAUGUGUUGGAUUUAGUGAUUCCCAUCUAAUGAAUACAAUGAAACAAUGGUGUUUAAAUUAUAGACUAGGUCAUAAAAAAUUGUGUACUUCCUCCAUGUUUAUCUCUCUUCUAUCACUUCCUCUAGUACAAGCCAGCUGCCAUGUUGUGAGCACAUACCACAUAGCUCCAUGGAGAUGCCCAUGUGACUGUGAUGAAGAGCUAAGACUUCCUGUCAGUGGCCGUGUGAGUGACCCAUGUUAGAAACAGAUCCGCCAGCCCAAACAGAACCUUCAGACAACUGCAGCCCCAGCUGGCAUCUUGACUGCAACUCAUGAGCGAUUCUAAGCCCACCGAAGCUGCUCUUGAAUUAUUGAUUCACAAAAACUUUUAGGUCUCCAGAAAUUCUAGCUACUGAUCAAGCCCAGUGAGGAAUUUCAGUUCUUUGUGCUGAAAACGUUGGAGAUCUGCUGGAUCAUCUCAUGAAGAACAUUGGUGGCCUGAGCCUUUUGGAAUUUGGUGCCAUGCGGCUGCUCUAGGGGAAACUUAAAAAACAUUCUUGUUCUUCAGACAGGAAGAAAAGAAAGAUUCUCCCAAUUUGGUGCAGAACUUUGAAGGUCACCUAUUUAUGGCAGCCCAUGGCUCUGGGCUAGGCCACAGCUAAAGCUGCAGAGAGAACUGCAGAAUAUCAUCCUCAGUGUCACUAGGGAAGAGGUUGGCCGGGUCAUUGGUGGGAUACAGCUGGCUAGGCCAUUUGAGUCUUUACCCACCUGUCUCAGCACUUUCUUGUUGUGAGAUUCUUACAUAACCAGAUUAGGGUUUUCAGUUUUUGUACUUAUCUCAACUUUAUUUCUACUUUGUUCACUUUCUCUUCUAUUUAUGGGUCUCAGAUAAUGUCAUGACCUCAACACUUCUUUUGUAUUAUGACAAUGGAAAUUAAACACACUCAGAAAAUGGCAAAACUCUCAAUCUAAUAGGAAAUACCCAUCCAAAUGAGGCUCAAUGUUGAAAUAACAACCUAUCUGAGUCUCAAUCUAUGUCUCUUUUAAAAUUCUAAUAAGUAUACUUAGAGGUUUGAUCUUGGACAUUUUUACUUCUUAAACUGCACUGAAAUACAUGUUUCCUCACCUCUCUGCAUUUCUCUUUUAAGUGGCUAAUACACUAGGUUUGAUUUCUUCCACCUUUCUUUACAAGAGCCACAGCUUAUAAUCUGUAGAUAACGGUGGCAUAAAACUCGAAAACCCAGGGUUAAGUCAUCCAGUUGUCUUUGUUCUGUCACUAAAAAUGUCUUUACUGCAUAUAUGUGACAGACAAUAGGCUUGGCAAUUUAGAUUAACAGAUAAGUAAUACAGGAUGAUGACUACCCUCCAUGGAUUCAAAGAAUGGCAUUUAAGACAUGAUUGUGAUUAAUUAAACACUAGCAUGCUCAGUGCAGCCAAGAGGAAGAACUGAAAGCUAAUGAAGAGGGAAAUUGGGAGGCAGUAGAAACUGCCACUUUGUGACAACAUCUGUGGCUCCUGGGAGCUUAAACAACAUCAGAUUUUCCUUUCCUCUUCUGCAAAAUUGAGACAAUUUUAAUAGUUGUCACAUAGGAAACUGCAAAGAUGAAAUAAAAUAAAGUUUGCAAAUUACUGGCUGAGAAUCUGAACAUGGUAAAUGAUAGUUACCUUUAAUUUCAAUGUAAUAAAUAACAUAAUCCUGUAUAGUCCACAUUUAACCAAAUCCAGACAAGAGAAGCUUUGAUUGCAGCUCCCCUGACAUUCCUGAGGUCUAACACGUUGAUGUCCCUCAAAUUGAAACUCUAGGAAAGGGGACUGUCUGUAAAACUGUGAAGGAGCAGAGCCCAGGUUCCCAUUGUCAGAGUAGUGCCUUGCACAGAGGAAAAAUUGUACAGCCCCCAUGAAGCUUGUUCCAGGGAACCAGUGUCUCAGCAAGUUGCGAUAGAAAAUGGCUGCUCUGUGAAUAGUAUAAAUAAAUAAAAUAAUCCCUUUACUCAGAUUCAGUUAGUUUCAAAUCACCAUUGAUGAUUAUUUUUAGGCCCAAGUAAAACAUAUUUUGUAAACCAUUUUCCUAGCCUUUACAACUCUCUAACUCAACCCUAAAAAAAAAAAGGUGAUUUGAAACUAACUGAAUAUAGUAUUAUAUAAAGUUACCUAUAGAUAUAUACAGA